AAAACAAAGGAGAAAAGAAAGUCAAUCAACCCAAACUUCUAUUGAAUUUUCCAAGGGCAAGGCCAAAACCAACAAUAGAAAGCAUACAACAAAUGCAAAUUCAAACGAUUUAUUUCAAACAGGCUCAAAGAAUAAUAAGUCUGGCAAACUUGUUUUCAUCGCCGGGGACUCAAUUCUACAACAUGUUCACGGCUGGGACUUGUCUAACGAUAAACAACGUGUAUCUGUAAAGUCCUUUUCAGGGAGUAAAGCUGAAGAUAUGCAAGAUUACAUAAAACCAUUACUACGCAAAAAGCCCGACGAGAUAAUAUUGCAUGUAGGCACUAACAAUAUUAAAGAUAACUCCAAGACGACAGAAGUAGUUGCUGCGGGUAUCUUAAACCUCGGAACCCAAAUAAAGGAUAGUCUACCAUGCACUAACGUAUGUAUAUCGGGCAUUAUUACCAGGAAAGAUAAAGCUAAUAUCCAGAACAAAAUUAAAACUGUAAAUGACAUUCUUAAACGGGUCUCUAACCAAAACAAAUGGACCUAUAUAGACAACACUAAUUUAGAUUAUACUUGCCUAAAUAGAGGUGGCCUACAUUUAAAUAGAAAGGGUAGUAGCACUCUUACUAGAAAUUAUAGUAAUCACUUUAGUCGUAAUUGAAAUAAGGCAUGGCCAGGUGCUGUAAGGUAUGCUCAAUUUAACC